AGUGGGAGCCCUGGAUCUUGGGCUGUGUCCUCCGGCGCCCUGGGCUCUGGGGCAUGCACCACUGGAAUCGCGCUCCCUGGACUGUGCAGCCCCCU
rnacentral:pre_miRNA from 1 species